GUGCCAGCCGCCGCGGUAAUACGGAGGUGGCGAGCGUUGUUCGGAAUUAUUGGGCUUAAAGCGCGUGUAGGCGGGACGGCAAGUGUCGGGUGAAAGCCCUCGGCUCAACCGAGGAAUGGCCUGGCAGACUGCCGUUCUUGAGGCAGGCAGAGGUGACUAGAACGACGGGUGGAGCGGUGAAAUGCGUAGAUAUCCGUUGGAAUGCCGGCGGCGAAAGCAGGUCACUGGGCCUGUCCUGACGCUGAGACGCGAAAGCGUGGGGAGCAAACAGGAUUAGAUACCCCUGUAGUCC
rnacentral:rRNA from 1 species